rfam:Dipodomys ordii contig_56894, whole genome shotgun sequence.
UGUGAUGUAGCUCAGUGGCAAAGCGCUUGCCUAGCAAGCACAACGUCCUGGGUUCGAUCCCCAGUACCAAAA